rnacentral:rRNA from 1 species
UGGGGAAUAUUGCACAAUGGGCGCAAGCCUGAUGCAGCCAUGCCGCGUGUAUGAAGAAGGCCUUCGGGUUGUAAAGUACUUUCAGUCGGGAGGAAGGUGUCAAGGUUAAUAACCUUGGCGAUUGACGUUACCCGCAGAAGAAGCACCGGCUAACUCCGUGCCAGCAGCCGCGGUAAUACGGAGGGUGCAAGCGUUAAUCGGACUUACUGGGCGUAAAGCGCACGCAGGCGGUCUGUCAAGUCGGAUGUGAAAUCCCCGGGCUCAACCUGGGAACUGCAUUCGAAACUGGCAGGCUAGAGUCUUGUAGAGGGGGGUAGAAUUCCAGGUGUAGCGGUGAAAUGCGUAGGGAUCUGGAGGAAUACCGGUGGCGAAGGCGGCCCCCUGGACAAAGACUGACGCUCAGGUGCGAAAGCGUGGGGAGCAAACAGG